rnacentral:rRNA from 1 species
UACGUAGGGCGCAAGCGUUGUCCGGAAUCAUUGGGCGUAAAGAGCUCGUAGGCGGCCUGUUGCGUCCGCUGUGAAAUCCCGGGGCUUAACCCCGGGCGUGCAGUGGAUACGGGCUGGCUGGAGGCAGGCAGGGGAGAACGGAAUUCCCGGUGUAGCGGUGAAAUGCGCAGAUAUCGGGAGGAACACCGGUGGCGAAGGCGGAUCUCUGGGCCAUAACUGACGCUGAGGAGCGAAAGCAUGGGGAGCGAACAGG